CCCGGGGCCGUAGCAGCGCCUGCACGGAGCGCUCUGCAACGCGCGGUGCCAUUCCCGGAGACCACGAGCCUCCCGUGUGAGCCCACGCAGAUAGGACAGAGCCGAAAGUGUCGCUUUUCCGGCGGACCGCUGCUGAAAAUUGCCUUUUUAUUUUUCUCUAAUUCUUUAAAAAAAAAAAAAACAAAAAAAAACAUCGUGGCUAUGAGACGCGGUUGCAACUCGCAUCCCCUGCACGGCUCCGGGCAGCCCCGCUCUGCAGCUGGAGCACCGAGCUCAGCAAAUGCACGCCUCUUCUGCAGCCCCUCGGCCGCACCGCCGCGGCCAAACCCUGCCGAGCUGAGGAGGUUUCGAGGGAAUAUCAGCUCCAGGAAUCAGUGCUUAUGUCAAAAUCGCGGCUCCCGUUUAAACGAAAACCGAGCGCUGAGCCCUCGGUUGAUUUGAGGCUAAAGAUCGAUUUGGGCACAAAAACGACUUCCCGUUCAGCAUUAUUUUUUCAAACCGUAUGGUUCUGCUGGAGGAGCACUGAUCCGGGCAGGAAGCUGCUCCCAGGCCUGUCAGCCAAAGGCACGAUGAGGACACCCAAUGUGUAUCACAGCUUCGGCUGCCCCGUGCUUUCAUACACCCAGGAGGGGCUGCUUCUCCCCCACCUGUCAGCAAAUACCGCACAGACAUCCCAAAUUCUGGGCCCCAUCGUUUUUGUAAAGCCCUCCCAAGUGCAGCGACUGCGUAUUGCGGAGUACAAAGAAUUAAAACUGAGCGAGAGUUGUGGAAAUAAAGGAACAAAGUGCAUUUUGCGGUGCAUUAUUCUAGCUUGUUUAUCCACAAAAGUCAGUCGUUAUGGGAUGAGUUCUGUUGGUUCCUGUAACAACGAAUGCGUUUUGUCACCGAAUGCUCAGCACUGCUCCGCAGACGCAGCCCGCUUCCCUUGCAGUCCCAUUCCAACCACCUCGAGGCACACCUGUUCCAAAAGCUGCACCACUCCUUCAUUGGUCUGAACUGCUUUCCUCCUGUGACGUGGGACCUGUGCUAUAGAACCUGUCCCCUCAGGGACCAACAGUGCAGAGCUGCCUCCUGCGGGGAGGGGGAGGAUGUGCUGUGUGUGCUCCUGCCCUGGGUUGUAUCCAGGCAGAUCCCUGCUGAUGCUCUCCUUGGCAGCCUCUACCUGCAUCCUCAGCUCACCUGCAAGGAGCAUUGCAGCAGGGGAAGCACUGUGGGGCUGAGUCCCAGCCCACCCGCAUGGGAUGGGCACCUACAGUGCCUUGGGGAUAUCUGUGGCCAGGGCUUGAGGUAUGGCCCUGGGUGGCUCAGGUUGGGUGCUGUCCUGCACAGGGAGAGCUGGGUGCCCACUGGGUCGGGACAUGGGGGACAGAGCCAUUGCAGCCCCAAACAGGACCAGAAAAUGAGCAAAGCCCUCAAUCUUGGGCCAAGCACCUGAAGCCAAAGGGACAGGAGGGGAGGGCUGAAGGGCAAACAGAGCUGGGCGCAUCGCUCUGUUUGCACACAGAGCGCACAGCACCACGAAGCCUGAUAUUAAAACAUGGCCAUAAACAGGCACUGUUCUCAUUCUCCUUGCAGCUGACUCCUCACCAGGCCCAGGAGGUCGGUACCUGCUUUGGCUGGGCUGCUGAACGAGGAGCUGCUCACAUGGCAGUUCCAAUUUCAUGCCUAACGUUAGCGCUGGGACAGAAGCAGCGGGGUGAUUACCUCAGCAGUCCCGUUUAAGCUGCACUGACUCCUCACAAAGCGGAGAAAACUCCACAAGCCGUCCUCCAGCGCCCAUCCCUCUUUAUAACGCCGUGCUUUAAUUCGUGACGUGCCAGCAAAAAUGCCUGCUGAAAUCUUUGUUACAGUAAUUGAGCACUCUGCAGUUUUGUUAUUCUCGACUACUGGCAUCCAUUUUCCACGGUGUCACGCAAUGGUGUGUGGGCAUUUUAGUCCCACCCCCGGUUUACGUCUGAGGGCGAUUCAAUUCAGAGCUGCGCUCCGCACUUCUGCAAGGAAGUGAAUGGGGUUCAGCAGCUCCAUCGGCCAGCAAAGUGCUGAACAAAUGGAGAGCACCGGCUGCCAACGAACACAAUGCAAAUGUGUACAUUAAAAUGCAAUGAAAGCGGAUUAAUUAAAUCCACGUUGCAUCUGGAUUCGCGCGUCACGCAGGGCAGAAU
ensembl:lncRNA